rnacentral:rRNA from 1 species
AACGAGCGCUGGCGGCAUGCCUAAUACAUGCAAGUCGAACGAGACCUUCGGGUCUAGUGGCGCACGGGUGCGUAACGCGUGGGAAUCUGCCCUUGGGUUCGGAAUAACAGUUGGAAACGACUGCUAAUACCGGAUGAUGACGAAAGUCCAAAGAUUUAUCGCCCAGGGAUGAGCCCGCGUAGGAUUAGCUAGUUGGUGAG